rnacentral:rRNA from 1 species
AUGGACGCGCCGGUGCAUGUUCUCGUGUUCCCGUGGCCGCUGCAGGGCCACAUCAACUGCAUGCUCCAUCUCACAGCCGCCCUCCUCGACGCCGGCUUCCGCGUCACCUUCCUCCACACCGAGCACAACCUCAGCCGCCUUGUCCCAGCGGCGCUGCCGCCGGGCCUCCGCCUGCUGUCCGUUCCCGACGGCCUCCCGGACGACCACCCCCGCUCAGUACGCAGCCUCAAGGAGCUCUCGGAGUCCAUGUUCACGACGGGCAGCGCUGCGUACCGCGCCCUGCUCCUGUCGCUUCGAUCCGAUGCACCGCCGUUGACCUGCGUUCAUGGUUUUCACUUUCAGUGA